CGUAGGCGGAUUAGUAAGUUAAAAGUGAAAUCCCAAGGCUCAACUUUGGAAUUGCUUUUAAAACUGCUAAUCUAGAGAUUGAAAGAGGAUAGAGGAAUUCCUAGUGUAGAGGUGAAAUUCGUAAAUAUUAGGAGGAACACCAGUGGCGAAGGCGUCUAUCUGGUUCAAAUCUGACGCUGAGGCGCGAAGGCGUGGGGAGCAAGCAGGAUUAGAUACCCUGGUAGCCCACGCUGUAAACGAUGAAUGUUAAAUAUGGGAAGUUUUACUUUCUGUAUUACAGCUAACGCGUUAAACAUUCCGCCUGGGGACUACGGUCGCAAGAUUAAAACUCAAAGGAAUUGACGGGGACCCGCACAAGCGGUGGAGCAUGUGGUUUAAUUCGAUGCAACGCGAAAAACCUUACCACUCCUUGACAUGGAAAUUAUACCUAUUCGAAGGGAUAGGGUCGGUUCGGCCGGGUUUCACACAGGUGUUGCAUGGCUGUCGUCAGCUCGUGUCGUGAGAUGUUGGGUUAAGUCCCGCAACGAGCGCAACCCUCAUCCUUAGUUACCAUCAGGUAAUGCUGGGGACUUUAAGGAAACUGCCAGUGAUAAACUGGAGGAAGGUGGGGAUGAUGUCAAGUCAUCAUGGCCCUUAUGGAGUGGGCUACACACGUGCUACAAUGGUGGCUACAAUGGGCUGCAAAGUCGCGAGGCUAAGCUAAUCCCUUAAAAGCCAUCUCAGUUCGGAUUGUACUCUGCAACUCGAGUGCAUGAAGUUGGAAUCGCUAGUAAUCGUGGAUCAGCACGCCACGGUGAAUACGUUCUCGGGUCUUGUACACACUGCCCGUCACGCCAUGGGAAUUGGUUUCACUCGAAGCUAACGACCUAACCGCAAGGAGGGAGUUAUUUAAAGUGGGAUCGGUGACUGGGGUGAAGUCGUAACAAGGUAGCAGUAGGGGAAUCUGCGGC
rnacentral:rRNA from 1 species